ensembl:snRNA U6 U6 spliceosomal RNA
GUACUCACUGUGGCAGCACAUAUAUGAAAAUUGGAAUGCUACAGAGAUUAGCAUGGCCCCUGCACAAGGAUGACAUGCAAAUGCAUGAAGUGUUCUUUUUUUUU